UAGUCCACGCCGUAAACGAUGGAUACUAGCUGUCCGGGUCCUUGAGGCCUGGGCGGCCAAGCGAAAGUGAUAAGUAUCCCACCUGGGGAGUACGUUCGCAAGAAUGAAACUCAAAGGAAUUGACGGGGGCCCGCACAAGCGGUGGAGCAUGUGGUUUAAUUCGAUGAUACGCGAGGAACCUUACCAGGGCUUAAAUGCAUAUCGACAGGCCGAGAGAUCGGUUUUCCUUCGGGCAAUUUGCAAGGUGCUGCAUGGUUGUCGUCAGCUCGUGCCGUGAGGUGUCAGGUUAAGUCCUAUAACGAGCGCAACCCCUACCGUUAGUUGCCAGCAUGUCAUGAUGGGGACUCUAACGGGACUGCCGGUGCAAACCGCGAGGAAGGUGGGGACGACGUCAAAUCAUCACGGCCCUUACGUCCUGGGCCACACACGUGCUACAAUGGCCGGUACAGCGGGAAGCCACUGCGCGAGCAGGAGCGGAUCCACAAAACCGGUCACAGUUCGGAUCGGGGU
rnacentral:rRNA from 1 species